GUGAAAUGAGUCAGAUUUUUUAUAGACCAUGGGCAUAAUUCUGGAAUGUAUCAUCUGCAAUAUAUUGUUUAAGUUUAUUAAUUACAUUGGCCAAAAGUCAUAGUACAGUAGAAGAGUUUCAUAGUUUUGCAUACUUUUUGAGGUUGUCUGCAGCAUCUUUUGCAUGCUCGGGAACAGGCAUAUUGCAUAGAAGAGUAACCCUGGAUGAUGAAACUAGAGAUUUACUCUCAGUAUUUGAAGGGUCAACCUUCCAGAGUUGCACCUCCCAUACCUGAAUGGUUUUGCCAACACUGAGAGGAG
rnacentral:misc_RNA from 1 species